rnacentral:rRNA from 1 species
GCACGAGUUUGUACUCGUAGCAGAUAGCUCAGUAACACGUGGCCAAACUACCCUAUGGAUCCGGAUAACCUCGGGAAACUGAGGCUAAUCCGGAAUACGACUCUCAGCCUGGAAGUGGCGAGAGUCAGAAACGCUCCGGCGCCAUAGGAUGUGGCUGCGGCCGAUUAGGUAGACGGUGGGGUAACGGCCCACCGUGCCCAUAAUCGGUACGGGUUGUGAGAGCAAGAGCCCGGAGACGGUAUCUGAGACAAGAUACCGGGCCCUACGGGGCGCAGCAGGCGCGAAACCUUUACACUGCACGAAAGUGCGAUAAGGGGACUCCAAGUGCGAGGGCAUAUAGUCCUCGCUUUUCACCACCGUAAGGAGGUGGUAGAAUAAGUGCUGGGCAAGACCGGUGCCAGCCGCCGCGGUAAUACCGGCAGCACGAGUGAUGACCGCUCUUAUUGGGCCUAAAGCGUCCGUAGCUGGCCACGCAAGUCUAUCGGGAAAUCCGCGCGCUCAACGCGCGGGCGUCCGGUGGAAACUGUGUGGCUUGGGACCGGAAGACCAGAGGGGUACGUCUGGGGUAGGAGUGAAAUCCCGUAAUCCUGGACGGACCACCGGUGGCGAAAGCGCCUCUGGAAGACGGAUCCGACGGUGAGGGACGAAAGCUCGGGUCACGAACCGGAUUAGAUACCCGGGUAGUCCGAGCUGUAAACGAUGUCUGCUAGGUGUGCCACAGGCUACGAGCCUGUGGUGUGCCGUAGGGAAGCCGUGAAGCAGACCGCCUGGGAAGUACGUCCGCAAGGAUGAAACUUAAAGGAAUUGGCGGGGGAGCACUACAACCGGAGGAGCCUGCGGUUUAAUUGGACUCAACGCCGGACAUCUCACCAGCAUCGACAAUGUGCAG